CCUACGGGAGGCAGCAGUGGGGAAUCUUGCGCAAUGGGCGAAAGCCUGACGCAGCAACGCCGCGUGCGGGAAGAAGGCUUUCGGGCUGUAAACCGCUUUCAGCAGGAACGAAAAUGACGGUACCUGCAGAAGAAGGAGCGGCCAACUAUGUGCCAGCAGCCGCGGUGAUACAUAGGCUUCAAGCGUUGUCCGGAUUUAUUGGGCGUAAAGAGUUCGUAGGCGGUCGAGUAAGUCGGGUGUGAAAAUUCUGGGCUCAACCCAGAGACGCCACCCGAUACUGCUUGACUUGAGUUCGAUAGGGGAGUGGGGAAUUCCUAGUGUAGCGGUGAAAUGCGCAGAUAUUAGGAGGAACACCGGUGGCGAAGGCGCCACUCUGGAUCGAUACUGACGCUGAGGAACGAAAGCAUGGGUAGCAAACAGGAUUAGAUACCCUGGUAGUCCAUGCCGUAAACGGUGGGCACUAGGUGUGGGUUUCUAUUAACGAAAUCCGCGCCGUCGCUAACGCAUUAAGUGCCCCGCCUGGGGAGUACGGUCGCAAGACUAAAACGUUAAAUGAAUUGACGG
rnacentral:rRNA from 1 species